rnacentral:misc_RNA from 1 species
AAGUCGUAACAAGGUUUCCGUAGGUGAACCUGCGGAAGGAUCAUUAACAAAACGUUUUUCCAAACGUUUGUUCAUUUUCUUCUUUCACACUCUGUGCUAUUCUUUCUCCCUAUGAGAUUCCAUUACAGGAAUCAAUUAGGUUGAAUCUAAUCUCUGGUUCUCAACUGAUUGUGAGAGUACUCCUUUCCAUUCAGUUGGAACUGCCAGAGAUUUCCCUUUCAACUUUUUUCACCUUCUGAUACUCAUAUCCCAUUUACUGAUUCAACGGUUUUCGAAUCGAAUGAAUCUGAUGUUUAUUUUUUCUCUAAAAAAUAAAUCUAAUACAACUCUUAGCAAUGGAUAUCUAGGUUCUC